CAACCAGAGCACCGCAGAAUCGGGGUACCUUACGUGGCCACCGGAGCUGGUCAGGAGCGUCAACUAGAGAGAGGUCGGAGGGGGGCUUCGCUCAAUUUUUAACAAGUACCCUUAACUGAAUUCAAGAAAGACGUUAAAAUUUUUCAAAACGCACUCAAGAGGGAACAAUACCUCCUAUCUUCACCACCCCCAUCAGGUAUUAGCAUUAGCGCAUUAGCCUUUUCUGAGAAAAAAGUUAAGGGAGCCAAAUAAGGGAGGUAGGGGGCACAUCAAUAUAAGUUAGAGGCCUCUGAAAAUUUCUCAAUUUUGUGUAUCUUAUUCUAAGGUGUUCAUUUCCUGGCGAUACUCAAACUAGAAGUUGUUUUAUAUUUUGGUGUUAUAGGUUAUACAAUUUUCAAGUUAUGGACAAUUCGCAUUUCUUAGGCGUAACGAAAAUGCAAACGGAGGAGUGAAAAUUUUCCUUGUCGGUUCGAUGAGUCAAACGGAACAUUUUCACCUCUGAUACUCCAGAGAAAUUCCCUCCAGAAAAAUUGCAGUAAAAAUCUAAUUUCUUAAGAGGAAAGUGCUUUGAAAUCAUCUGUGAAUGUUUGGGUGGAGAAACCUAAUGUUAACCUUUUCGAAGAAAUUACACCUGAUGCAACAAAUAGAGAAUUGUCAACGGAAGUCAAUAGGCGGGAUAAAUCAUCAAAGAUUUCGGUUUCUACCAAAUCAAUAUAGAACAGAGCACUUAUA